CCUGAGAGGGUGAUCGGCCACAUUGGAACUGAGACACGGUCCAAACUCCUACGGGAGGCAGCAGUGGGGAAUAUUGCACAAUGGGCGAAAGCCUAAUGCAGCAACGCCGCGUGAGUGAUGAAGGCCUGCGGGUCGUAAAACUCUGUCCUCAAGGAAGAUAAUGACGGUACUUGAGGAGGAAGCCCCGGCUAACUACGUGCCAGCAGCCGCGGUAAUACGUAGGGGGCUAGC
rnacentral:rRNA from 1 species